UGCAAGUCGACGAGAAGUCACUUCGGUGGCGAGUAAAGUGGCGCACGGGUGAGUAACGCGUGGGUAAUCUGCCCUUAGGUUUGGGACAACUCCGGGAAACUGGAGCUAAUACCAAAUAAGACUACGACGCCCUCGGGCGAUGUAGAAAAAGGUGGCCUCUUCUUGAAAGCUAUCGCCAAAGGAUGAGCCCGCGUUCCAUUAGCUUGUUGGUGGGGUAAAAGCCUACCAAGGCUCCGAUGGAUAGCUGGUCUGAGAGGAUGAUCAGCCACACUGGAACUGACACACGGUCCAGACUCCUACGGGAGGCAGCAGUCGGGAAUCUUGUCCAAUGGGGGAAACCCUGAUGCAGCCAUGCCGCGUGUGUGAAGAAGGCCUUCGGGUUGUAAAGCACUUUCAGUUGUGAGGAAAAGUUAGUAGUUAAUACCUACUAGCCGUGACGUUAACAACAGAAGAAGCACCGGCUAACUCCGUGCCAGCAGCCGCGGUAAUACGGAGGGUGCGAGCGUUAAUCGGAAUUACUGGGCGUAAAGCGCACGCAGGCGGUUUGUUAAGCUAGAUGUGAAAGCCCCGGGCUCAACCUGGGAUGGUCAUUUAGAACUGGCAGACUAGAGUCUUGGAGAGGGGAGUGGAAUUCCAGGUGUAGCGGUGAAAUGCGUA
rnacentral:rRNA from 1 species